AUCUUAAUUCAUAACUGAUUUAAGAAUGGGAUGAAGCCAAAGGCAAAGCUUUACUCAGCUAUAGAUAAAGUUAGAAAAAGCAAAAAGAUGCUUGCUACUACAUUUUUGCAGUAGCUCAGAACUCUAGUGCCAUCUAAUCUCACAUCCAGGAGCCACAUCCAUUGAUUGAUAGUUCAAUUGUGGUGCAUCUGAAAUAAUAAUAAAAUUGAUUUUCUUGCCCCAAAGCACCAUAGAUUGAUGGGUCUUGCUUUUGUUGUGGAAAAAUUACCUUUCAGUUUCUUUUUUCUGCUCUGAUAGUGAUUCAGCUGUUAUAACUUUGGGUUUUGCAUUCUAGAGAUGAUUACAGGCCAGCUUCAGACUAUUUUAAGGAUUAGGCGGAAGAAGCAAUAUGUAACACUGUCCACCAAAUUGGCUGAUAUCCCCUAAAGCUUUAAACUUGCACAAAUGUAGACAUAUAGAGGUAUUUACACCAUUGAUCUGAAAAAAAUAAACUGAGAAGGAUGUCUGUGGAGAUUCUCAGUCAUCCAGGUCAUAGUUGUCCCAAAGGUGCUUUUUUCUUCAAAAGGUAACUAGACAGUUUUUUUCCUUGAGGAGGAAGAAGAAAAUGUUUCACUUCUCAUCCAAAAGGUUCAUCAGUUCUCAUGGCAGAGGGGUGGGGAUGGAUGGAAGGAUAGGUUCUGAUACGAUGGUCGGGAGGAUGGAAGAACUGUAUUUCUUUGCAAUCAUCUGGCUGUUAGAAUUCUCUCUGAUAGCUGUUGAGGCCACUUGGAGGUUUAUCUGUGCACUCAGGGUCACCUGAAUCAGGGUGCAGUUGGUUGUGGAAUCUUCUUUGAACUGCUGCAAGAAUUGCGUUGUAAACUGGAGAUGGGUGGUGUCUUAUUCCUCC